rnacentral:lncRNA from 1 species
UCUCCUGCUAUUCAGUGUGUCAUUCACUUUGCUCACACAAUGUGUUGAUGCAUUGUGAAUACUAACCCAAGAUCUUAUAGAGUCAAUCACUUGUGGAGAAGAGUUCCAACUUUCUGAACUCCCACACUUUCUAUUGUUUAAAGCUCUCCCAGGCUAGGGAUAAGAGCUAUGAGGCACACUCCUCAUCUCCAUUUCAUCUGCUUCACCCUAACUCUCAAUGUUAGGGUUAAGAG